rnacentral:lncRNA from 1 species
CCUCAUGAGAUUAGUUUUUUGGCAUGAGAAACAUCAGAGAGUUGGCAUGAGAAAUAUCAGAGAGUAGGCAUGAAAAAUCAGAGAGGGGUUGGGCUUCUAUGCAUGAGAAAUCGAGGAAGAAAUCUUCCUCUUUGGGCGUGAGGUCUAGGGUGGGUUCUAGGGUUUUGACUCUAGAUUUUGUGUGAGAGAAAAACUACAAGAGUGUCUUGUUUUGAUCUCCCAUGCCACCACCUCCUCGUAAAGCUCUAUCUUCUGAUCUAAACGAGUCUGGAUGAUCCAAAAAAAGGAGCUUGAAUCAAUCAUCCAGAUCCUUCGAUGCGAGCUAGCACUUUAGGGAAGGACGAUCCAAUAAGGACUUCGAGUGGAUGACCUAUAGAGGUCGGACGAUCUGUGUGGCUGUUCGACAUCAAAAAAAAUCUCAUACCACAUCUAU